UAGCUCAGUUGGUAAAGUGUUUGUCUCAGAAACACAAAGACCUGAGUUUGAUUCUCAG
rnacentral:tRNA from 1 species